UCCCAACACCAUGCAAACACUUAUCUGUCCCCCGAUCACUUCCGAAUUAAGAGAUUUUCAUAAAAUUAGUUAGGUUAUCUCGUAUCGCAUCAUUUAGCCCUCCAGUUUUAACCAUUUAAAAAUGGUGGCAUAAUUCAUACGUCUGAGAUGUAAUUUUGAACUAUUUCGGAUUUUUAUAGAAUUUAGCCGGGUAGUCAAAUAGUCCUGUUGACUUCGAUGAUAUAUACGCGUCGUUAAAAAAAUAUGGCGUUUUUUUUCCUCUCCGAUAUCUUACCGACUGCUUGAUCGAAUGUUACCAAACUUAGCGGGGUGGUGGACAUAUUGAAAUCGAAUUUUGAAAUAAUACGAAUUAACUGAGUCGAUUCGUUUGUUUAAAAAUGGCGGACGUUCGAUCUCUCGCAGUUUCCCUGUAAUAACUGUGGAAUUAUUCGAAGGAUUUUAGUCAUAAGUAAAUACCAUUGAAGAGAUUCUGAUGAUAUUUUAAUCCCUUACGUUUAAUCGUUCAAAAGUAAAAGAUGGCUCUAAAAAAUAAGACUAGUUUUUACCAGAAACUCUUUUUUUUUUCCGUUGAAAAUCGGAAUAUUUUAAAGAGCUAGCCACUCGAAAUGGUCGAAAUUAAGCUAUUUUUAUUUAAGAACUGUUCGAAAUGAUUAUUUUACUAAAAAUUGUUUUCGGUUUUUUAUAAAGUACGGUGCCAUCUUGCCAUAUACGUGAUCGUCCGAAACAUCCAUAGACUAGUUCUCCAUUAAAUAUCAAUCUCUUCCAUUUAGAAUUCUGUUCCGUGCGUGAUCGCGAAUGAAUCUUUCUGAAGUUGACGUCUAGAAAAGAAUGUGGGAAGAUUGGUCGGAAGAUAAAUCAAAAUGCUAAUUUCCUAAUUAUCCAAAACAUGUUCCGGUGCGAUAGUAUUACUGGUAGAGUGGCGAAGUCCAAACAUAUUUUCGAAAGAGUUUUGUCGAAACGUACGUUUAGAAGAAAAAAAGACUUAAAACAGUUAUCGAAAUAUUCAUCUGGGCUGAAAAACGAAGAUAUUUAAACUAUCAGUUAUUUCCACACACGAAAAUUGUAUGAGGAUGCCAUACAUCUUUUAAAUGUACGGAAAAUGGCCAAAUUUUGUAACAAGUUCGGUCGGUAGAAGAAAUAUCUGUUCAAAUAUGCAUUUCUCACCAUUUCUUUAAGCGAUUUUAGUAGAACAAAGCUGGAAAAUGAUUUCCAUGUUAUAAAAACUUCAUUCUUUCUGCUAGACCAGGUGAGAAUGACGUACGGCCGCUACUAUUGUAUUGAUAACGUUACGUUAGCUUCCAGACGUAAAUUUUUGCUGGUGAUUCGACGUGUUGAUGCGAUAAGUAAUGAAAACAUUCUCCACCCUAUAAUUUUACAGAAAUAAAAACAAACGUUAAGGAUAAUUGGGUGCGUGUUUAUCUGUGGUUAUGGUAAACAGAUACGAAAUGUCGGCUCAAGGUGGAAACCACAGCAAUUCAUAGCCAAUAGCCAAAAGCAUUUAAGGGAAAAUCUCUCUGGAUAUAAUUUGACUGCAAAUAUUUUUCCCGUUCCGUCGAGUAGGUAGACUUCCAAGCGAAGAAGGGACGUUAAAUAAAGUGUGAUUUAUAUACACGUCUGUUAUCGGUUGAAACCCGCCCGUAGUGACGAUACGCGUAACGCAAAUAUCCCCAUUCGCGCCAUGAGAUGAGACGUAGUUUAGUAGAGAAUUCCAACGAAAAGUAAACUAGAUAACUAGCGAAGAGAGGCUCCCAGGACGUAUUUCUCUUCAAAUAUUAAACCUGGAUUCCAAUCUACAGACGAGAUUUUUGUUUUCUCAUUCUUGGAUGAAUUGCAUUCGACUCUCGUCAAAAAUUUCCGGAAUUUGACAGAAAUGUCCAAGUAAAAAUUUUCUGUAUGAUUAAUCUAAUGGUGAUCUAUCGGCGUUAUAUCAUUCUGUUUUUAAGUAUUUAUUGUCCUAGAAUUAACACAGAAAAUGCGUGCAAAAUAUCCAAUUUGAGAAAUUACAUCUGGCAACAGAAAACUGUUUUUAGCUUGCUUUCCGAAGGAAAAAAACGUAAGAUUGCAUACAUUGCAAAGCCCAGAAGAAAUGGUAUCGAUCGG
rnacentral:lncRNA from 1 species